rnacentral:rRNA from 1 species
GCUAAAUAACUAGCUUAACCAUUAAAUUUAUAUCACAAUAUUUAUUAGUUUUAUUUAACACUCUGUUAAUAAAUUAAAUCAUUCUCCCGCUCUAGUAUGGGUGACAGAAAAAGCACUAAAAGCAAUAGAACCAGUACCGCAAGGGAAAGUUGAAAGAGAAAUGAAAAAAACCAUUUAAGCCUAAAAAAGUAGAGAUUAAUACUCGUACCUUUUGCAUCAUGAUUUAGUUAGAAUACUGGGGGCAAAGAGAAACUUUAGUUCCCCACCCCGAAACCAGGUGAGCUACCCCGAGACAGCCUAUAUUAGGGCCAACCCGUCUCUGUGGCAAAAGAGUGGGAAGAUCUCCGGGUAGCGGUGACAGACCUAUCGAACUUGGUGAUAGCUGGUUGCCUAAAAAAUGGAUAUAAGUUCAGCCUUGUACUCCUCCCCCCAUGAAAACACGCUGUCUAAUGGGAUGAAGAAAACUACAAGAGUUAGUCAAAGGGGGUACAGCCCCUUUGAACCAGGAUACAACCUGUCCAGGAGGUAAAAGAUUACUUAUUAAGAUAUAUCGCUUCAGUGGGCCUAAAAGCAGCCACCUGUACAGAAAGCGUUAAAGCUCUAGCGGGUGAAAAAUCUAUUAUUCUUAUAUUUUACUCCUAAACCCCUAAUUCUAUUAGGCCACCCCAUGCUCACAUGGGGGAGAUACUGCUAAAAUGAGUAACAAGAAGAUAAACCCUUCUCCUUAUCUAAGUGUAAAUUAGAUCGGACCUACCACUAAUAAUUAACGAACCCAACCAAAGAGGGAAAAGUAACCUUACAAAAAACCUAGAAAACUUUACACCAACCAAUCGUUAAUCCCACACUGGAAAACUUCAAGGAAAGAUUAAAAGAAAGGGAAGGAACUCGGCAAACACAAGCCUCGCCUGUUUACCAAAAACAUCGCCUCCUGCAAUAACCAACGUAUAAGAGGUCCUGCCUGCCCAGUGAUUAAAUUUAACGGCCGCGGUAUUUUGACCGUGCAAAGGUAGCGCAAUCACUUGUUUUUUAAAUAAAGACCUGUAUGAAUGGUGAAACGAGGGCUUAACUGUCUCCCCUCUCUAAUCAGUGAAAUUAAUCUACCCGUGCAGAAGCGGGUAUACAUUUACAAGACGAGAAGACCCUAUGGAGCUUUAGACACAAAAUCACCUAUGUUAAAAACCCUUUUUAAAAGCAUUAAACAAAAUAGUAACUGAUUGACGUCUUCGAUUGGGGCGAUCGAGGGGGAGAAUAAAUCCCCCAUGUGGUAUAAGACAUUUUUCUCUAAACCAUGAGGCACACCUCUAAGUCACAGAACCUCUGACCCAAAGAUCCGGUAGUUACCGAUCAACGGACCAAGUUACCCUAGGGAUAACAGCGCAAUCCUCUCCAAGAGUCCAUAUCGACAAGAGGGUUUACGACCUCGAUGUUGGAUCAGGACAUCCUAAUGGUGUAGCCGCUAUUAAGGGUUCGUUUGUUCAACGAUUAAAGUCCUACGUGAUCUGAGUUCAGACCGGAGUAAUCCAGGUCAGUUUCUAUCUGUAAAACUAUAUCUUCUAGUACGAAAGGACCGAAGACAUAAGGCCUAUAUUCCAAUAUGCCCUACCUCUACUUAAUGAAACCAUCUCAACUAAACAAAGAGGAGUAUAAAGUUAACCAUAGAUACCUGGAAC